GACGAACCGUACGAACGUUAUUCGGAAUUACUGGGCUUAAAGGGUGCGUAGGCUGCGCAGUAAGUUGGGUGUGAAAUCCCUCGGCUUAACCGAGGAACUGCGCCCAAAACUACUGUGCUCGAGGGAGACAGAGGUGAGCGGAACUUAGGGUGGAGCGGUGAAAUGCGUUGAUAUCCUAAGGAACACCUGUGGCGAAAAGCGGCUCACUGGGGUCUCUUCUGACG
rnacentral:rRNA from 1 species